UACAGAGGGUGCGAGCGUUAAUCGGAAUUACUGGGCGUAAAGCGUGCGUAGACGGUAGCGUAAGUCAGAUGUGAAAGCCCCGGGCUCAACCUGGGAAUUGCAUUUGAGACUGCUCUGCUCGGGUGCGGAAGAGGGAAGCGGAAUUUCCGGUGUAGCGGUGAAAUGCGCAGAUAUCAGGAGGAACACCAAUGGCGAAGGCAGCUCGCUGGGACGGUACUGACGCUGAGACGCGAAAGCGUGGGGAGCAAACAGG
rnacentral:rRNA from 1 species